AUUGAACGCUGGCGGCAUGCUUUACACAUGCAAGUCGAACGGUAACAGGCCUUCGGGUGCUGACGAGUGGCGCACGGGUGAGUAAUGCAUCGGAACGUGCCCAGAGGUGGGGGAUAACGCAGCGAAAGCUGUGCUAAUACCGCAUGUGAUCUGAGGAUGAAAGCGGGGGACCAGGCAGCAAUGUUUGGCCUCGCGCCUUUGGAGCGGCCGAUGUCAGAUUAGGUAGUUGGUGGGGUAAAGGCCUACCAAGCCGACGAUCUGUAGCUGGUCUGAGAGGACGACCAGCCACACUGGGACUGAGACACGGCCCAGACUCCUACGGGAGGCAGCAGUGGGGAAUUUUGGACAAUGGGCGCAAGCCUGAUCCAGCAAUGCCGCGUGCGGGAAGAAGGCCUUCGGGUUGUAAACCGCUUUUGUACGGAACGAAAAGGCUCUGGCUAAUACCUGGGGCUGAUGACUGUACCGGAAGAAUAAGCACCGGCUAACUACGUG
rnacentral:rRNA from 1 species